rnacentral:rRNA from 1 species
AACGCAGCGAAGGGCGAUAAGUAAUGUGAAUUGCAGAAUUCAGUGAAUCAUCGAAUCUUUGAACGCACCUUGCGCCCUUUGGUAUUCCGAAGGGCACGCCUGUUUGAGUGUCGUGAAAUUCUCAACCCUGUGCUUUUCUUGUGAAAGCGCGUGGGCUUGGACUUAGAGGCUUUGCUGGUCCUCGCGGAUCGGCUCCUCUCAAAUGCAUUAGCGAGACCCUUGUGGUGCCGCCCCCGGUGUGAUAAUUGUCUACGCCGUGGUGGUACGCCACGAUUGUGGGGGGCCUGCUUCCAACCGUCGAAAGACAAACUUUAUCGAAACUUGACCUCAAAUCAGGCGGGACUACCCGCUGAACUUAA